GUUAGCUGUACAGAAGGAACCCCAUUGCCUCCAAAGGUGCCUACGACAUGAGCCAAAGAAAGAUUAUUCUAACUCAUGAAAUCAAAAUAAUUGAGACAAUAACUCUGGAGUACAGCAAGCCUACGCGAGCUAUCCAAAAGCCCCCAACUAAGCAUUCUAUAACCAACAAUAAGCCUCCAACUAAGACUGUCUCUGUGCAGAAGAGGAAGCCUAUAAAAUCCACUAAAAAAACAUAAAUGACUGAACUCAAAGGAGGCCGACACUAUACCAACAGAAGUUGGCAUUCUCCGCCUAUGGAGCCCAAUGCCUGAGGAGAGAGACCAUGUCUUCAAGAGGAACAGCAAAAGACUUUAAAUAACUCUCCACUUCAUACUUUAUUAUGUAAAA